rnacentral:rRNA from 1 species
GACGAACGCUGGCGGCGUGCUUAACACAUGCAAGUCGAACGGAAAGGCCCUGCUUUUGUGGGGUGCUCGAGUGGCGAACGGGUGAGUAACACGUGAGUAACCUGCCCUUGACUUUGGGAUAACUUCAGGAAACUGGGGCUAAUACCGGAUAGGAGCUCCUGCUGCAUGGUGGGGGUUGGAAAGUUUCGGCGGUUGGGGAUGGACUCGCGGCUUAUCAGCUUGUUGGUGGGGUAGUGGCUUACCAAGGCUUUGACGGGUAGCCGGCCUGAGAGGGUGACCGGCCACAUUGGGACUGUGAUACGGCCCAGACUCCUACGGGAGGCAGCCGUGGGGAAUAUUGCACAAUGGGCGGAAGCCUGAUGCAGCAACGCCGCGUGCGGGAUGACGGCCUUCGGGUUGUAAACCGCUUUCGCCUGUGACGAAGCGUGAGUGACGGUAAUGGGUAAAGAAGCACCGGCUAACUACGUG